UGGGGAAUAUUGCACAAUGGGCGCAAGCCUGAUGCAGCCAUGCCGCGUGUAUGAAGAAGGCCUUCGGGUUGUAAAGUACUUUCAGCGGGGAGGAAGGGAGUAAAGUUAAUACCUUUGCUCAUUGACGUUACCCGCAGAAGAAGCACCGGCUAACUCCGUGCCAGCAGCCGCGGUAAUACGGAGGGUGCAAGCGUUAAUCGGAAUUACUGGGCGUAAAGCGCACGCAGGCGGUUUGUUAAGUCAGAUGUGAAAUCCCCGGGCUCAACCUGGGAACUGCAUCUGAUACUGGCAAGCUUGAGUCUCGUAGAGGGGGGUAGAAUUCCAUGUGUAGCGGUGAAAUGCGUAGAGAUGUGGAGGAAUACCGGUGGCGAAGGCGGCCCCCUGGACAAAGACUGACGCUCAGGUGCGAAAGCGUGGGGAGCAAACAGG
rnacentral:rRNA from 1 species